CGGAGGGUGCAAGCGUUAUCCGGAUUCACUGGGUUUAAAGGGUGCGUAGGUGGGCAAGUAAGUCAGUGGUGAAAUCUCCGGGCUUAACCCGGAAACUGCCAUUGAUACUAUUUGUCUUGAAUACUGUGGAGGUCAGCGGAAUAUGUCAUGUAGCGGUGAAAUGCUUAGAUAUGACAUAGAACACCAAUUGCGAAGGCAGCUGGCUACACAAAUAUUGACACUGAGGCACGAAAGCGUGGGGAUCAAACAGGAUUAGAUACCCUGGUAGUCCACGCCCUAAACUAUGGAUACUCGACAUUUGCGAUAAGCUGCAAGUGUCUGAGCGAAAGCAUUAAGUAUCCCACCUGGGAAGUACGAUCGCAAGAUUG
rnacentral:rRNA from 1 species